rnacentral:rRNA from 1 species
CUAACAAGGAUUCCCCUAGUAACGGCGAGUGAAGCGGGAAGAGCUCAAAUUUGUAAUCUGGCGGCCUGUGGUCGUCCGAGUUGUAGUCUGGAGAAGCGUUUUCUGCGUCGGACCGUGUACAAGUCCCUUGGAACAGGGCGUCACAGAGGGUGAGAAUCCCGUCUUUGACACGGACUGCCGGUGCUUUGUGAUGCGCUCUCGAAGAGUCGAGUUGUUUGGGAAUGCAGCUCAAAACGGGUGGUAAAUUCCAUCUAAAGCUAAAUAUUGGCGAAAGACCGAUAGCGAACAAGUACCGUGAGGGAAAGAUGAAAAGCACUUUGGAAAGAGAGUUAAACAGUACGUGAAAUUGUUGAAAGGGAAACGUUUGAAGUCAGUCGCGUCUCUCGGGACUCAGCCUUGCCUUUUCGCUUGGUGUACUUCCUGGGAUGACGGGCCAGCAUCGAUUUCGACCGUCGGAGAAGGGCCUUGGGAAUGUGGCACCUUCGGGUGUGUUAUAGCCCUUGGUCGCAUGCGACGGUUGGGAUCGAGGACCGCAGCACGCCGUUUAUCGGCCGGGGUUCGCCCACGUACCGUGCUUAGGAUGCUGGCGUAAUGGCUUUAAGCGACCCGUCUU